CAUGACCUGGUCCAAAUAUGAGGGCACCACUGGUUUUGCAAAUGAUUGAAGCAUUACUCAGAACCUGCGGGGGAUAAAUCAGAGGGCUGUCUGAGUUCUAAGAGCUUUACUCUCAGGAUGGCUUGGCUUCUCUUCAUUGCAAGCUAUUGAAGCUAUUCCGGAUAAGCCUUGGCAGUCAAAUCUGGAAAACCUCAGGAGCCAUUGAGAUGAUCUUUGCGGAGCUCCCACUGGUACAGCCAGGGCGAGGAUCCUGAUUUAGAAGUUUCUACUUUGGGUGAGGACACACCACCUUGGUCAAGAAUUCAGUGUGGCAAUAAAAUAGAAAUGAUUGAAGUUGUGGUAAACGUAAACAAGACGGAGCCAGCAGAUAAGCAGCGGCACCCCAACAGAAGUAAGGAGUGGAGUGACAUCUGGAGGAGACAGGAAGAAAGGAGUGUGAAAGAGUUGGGAGUUUGAAAAUACUGGAAGAUUAGCCCUGAGCUAACAUCUGCUGCCAAUCCUCCUCUUUUUGCUGGGGAAGACUGGCCCUGAGCUAACAUCCAUGCCCAUCUUUCUCUAUUUUAUGUGAGACGCCUGCCACAGCAUGGUUUGCCAAGUGGUGCACAAGUCUGCACCUGGGAUCCAAACCAGUGAACCCCAGACCGCUGAAGCAGAACGUGCGAAGUUAACUGCCGUGCCCCAAGGCUGGCCCCACAUUAAUACUUUUUAAAAGCAUCAUUUUAAUAACUACAUAAUAUGUUUUAAUGGACGUACCACAAUUUAUUUACUAUAGUACAUUUAAGGUAACACAGUUAAGAUAAAUAACACUAAUAAACAUCACCAUCCAUAUAUUUUUCCUACAUUUCUCAUAGUUUCCUUAAAAUAAAAUCCUAUAAAUUAUAUACUUUAUGUUCUUAUUGAAUUGUGCUUAAUUUUGUGAGUUGAUUUACAAUAUCUACCAACAUCAGAUUAUGUGAGAAUUCAGUGAGAUGAGGUAUGUUCCUAUUUUCCUGAGCUAAGUUGGAAUAAAAGUUGUGGUCAUACAAGCACUUGAAGAAUAUUAAAGAUCUUCUUGACCAUUUCUUCUCCACUAAAAAAAAGGGAGGAGGGAAGGAACAACUUUUGAUGUGGGAUCCUUCCCAGAUUUUAAAUUAUUGUUCCUUUCCUCUGGGUUCUCUAAAGUCUUGCCUUAAUGACCAGACUCUCUCUAAAAACAGGCUCUGAGACUCUGACCACAGAGGGAAGGUUCUCUUACAGUCUCUACACAGUUAAGGAAAAGGCAGAGACCAGGGAGCCCUGAUCCAGUGACUUGCAGAGAGAAAUUAACCUUCAGUUUUUUGGGGUUUUUUGAGGAAGAUUGGCUCUGAGCUAGCAUCUGUUGUCAAUCUUCCUCUUUUUUUCCCCGCUUCUCCCCAAAGCCUCAGUACAUGGUUGUAUAUUCCAGUUGUAGGUCCUUCUGGUUGUGCUACGUGGGACACUGCCUCAGCACGGCUUGAUGAGCAGUGCACAGGUCAGCGCCCAGGAUCUGAACUGGCGAACCCUGGGCCGCCAUAGUGGAUCAUGUGAACUUAACCACUCGGCCACAGGACUGGACCCAACCUUUACCUUUUCAAGUAGACCAAACUCCAACCUGUAUAUUCAGGACUGGAGCGAGAACCAGGAUGGAGAAAAAUUUUAAGGACUUUGUGUAAAGAAGGUCUUGCUUCCCUCCCGAGGCCAGCGAGAGAUGGUGAAGCAAGCAAGGAUGGAGCAACACCCCAAAGCUGUGACACGCAGGCCCCACCAGCGACUGGCCUUGGGCCCCUUCACCCCCGUCACUCCCUCCACCACCUCCCCAGGCUCUCCCAGCUCCCUGGGAUCCCAGGCUCUCCAUGCCCGGCCCAGUCUGCGACCAAUGCCUGGGCUAGGCCUGGCUGGUGUCUCCUUGCCCUCUAGGCCUUUGCCUCUUCCUCCAGGGAGUCCUCCCUAAUGCCCUUCCCAGACUGAGUCCGUCUGUGCUGCAUGUGUCAUGUCUGUGAAACGUAGAGGACAUAUGGCUCCUCCAGGAGGGGCACAGGAGUCUGGGAGGGAACCAGUGGGAGGCUGGCAAGAGGAAGCAAGGAGAAGCCAGCACAGAUGCCUGAGCAACUGACUGAAGCCUUGUCGUCUCUGACCUUGGAAGUCAGGCCCUCACUCGGUUACCUGAUCUCACGGCUCAAUUUGCAACCGGAAGCACAUCAUCGGCUCAAACGAACGUUGGUUGAAUGAAUGAACUGGAGGAAAAGAACCGGGGAGGCAGAGGGGGUCUGAAAACCUCGAGUCGGGUCUGCAUCCUGCUGUGUAAAAUGAGCUCACACGCGCACUGCAGGAGAUUCCAACAGCCUGGCCUGGGGUCUCCUCUUCCAUCAGGGCUCAGCUGAGCCACCGCCUGCCCCAGGAAGCCUUCUCUCAACCCCACAGUUCACUGGGGGUGGGGGCAGGGGCACCGUGCAUAAGCUCGUUGUUGGAGGGAGUAAUGGACCAAGUCCAGAAAGUUCCAUUGCAAGAUGAUGAGAGUCAGGGAGGCAGGGUGGCCUCAUGGGCUUUGCCAUUUUCUUUUUCUUACCUUGUUAAAUUAAAAGCAAUUUUCAAAAAAGUGAAAAGAAAACUCUCUCCCAAUAAAAGGAUCUUCCAGCUGGAGUUGGGAUCCUUCCUAGGAGAGUAUCAGUAUUUUCUCUGUUCUAGGGGGAGCGCUGGAAUAUAUCCUGGGGCAGACUCUCCUUUUGUUCCGGAGGACUGUGAGCUGGUUUGGUUUGAGGUCUAUAAGAUUCUUCAUUGUUGUGGGGAGAAGUCCCAAGGAAAGCCCCAAACCAAUGAAGUGAUCCUACUGCAGAUGUUUCAGAGGGAGGUGUUGAGGGCUUUUCUUAGCGCUGUACCUUGACGUGUCUUCUUGACAGGACUAAGCCUCUGCAGGAUCAGAGCCACCAUGGAGCAGCAUGGAGACUGGGCAGAGAAAUCAGCCAGCUCUGCUCACCGGUCCGUGAGGUGCUAGUCUUCCCAGAGAAAGGGCAGCUUUUUCUAAUUUUCACGAUGUGCCAUAGAGACUAGAGUUUCUGAGAGACAGUAUACAACCCCUGAGACCAUGCCAAGAAGGACCUAGGGAUCUGAUCUGAUCUCUACCAUUUACCAGAGGAAAGACUAUGAAGAGGAAGUAAACUGAGUUUGGUUUAGAAGCGCUGGCUCCUUGAUUUUGUUGCCCAGACGUGGUAUUAAGCCUGAAUAACCCAGCCUGCAGGAAAUGUGUUGUCAGCUGUUGAGAGUGUCUUGUCUGAGCAAUGGAGGAGGGAGAUGGAGUGGGCAGACGGUAUGCUACGUGGAGGGUGGGAGUGCUCCUAAGCCGAUGGGUGCUCCCACUGCGAAUCAGCCUGGGAUAGGAAAAGAAACAGGUCCAGGAAGGGGAGAGGGCUCUCUAGAGCCAGAGAAGUUGAGCCUGGAUUUCGGGUAGGAGGACAGCAGCAAAGAUCCUUGCAAGAUGGCAGCUGUCUGAGGAUCAAGGAGAAAGAAGACCAAUAGGGGAUGACCUAUAGGAGGGUGCGGAUUAGGCACCUAGGAAGAGUGAUAGCUGGAUAUUUUUUGACCACAUUACAGUCCAUUCAGCAAUCUCCAAGCCUUCAGUGAAGUUUAUUUAGCUUUGAAGAAAUAAAGAAGAUGCCUGGACCUGCGCAUUGGGCCACCGCAGCCUGGACAAGCCGUUACACAAGAGGGGAGUUGCGGUUUGGAGAAAAAUGACUGGCUAAAGGGACGAAUGCAGGGGAACCAUCUUCAUGGGACAGAUAAGCAUUCUUUGAGGACUAUCAGAAACACUUGGCGAGGGCAACCAGAAAACCAGGACUUCAUGCAGUUGUUCAAGUCAGGAGCUUGGAUGAAGUUAGUUGGUGUUAAAGGAAAGGUUGACUCUGGAAGGCUAGAGGUGGUGGGGACAUGUGAGAUCCCCAGGGGAGAACGAAUGGCUAGAAGGGAAGGGAAUGUGGCAUUGCUGACUCCAAAGUGCCACAACACAUUUUUCUUUUAGCUCUCAAAGUGAAAAGCUGACAGUUCCAUUCCUAUAAGGGGAAGGCAUUUUGCUAGAUGGAAUCUCAUUUUCAUUUCCUCUCUGUUGUCACUGAAACACUGAUUACUUAUAAACAUUUGUGCAAGAAGAAUUCAGAUUCAGAUUCUUUGUUUAAAAAUUACAUAAUUUUUAAAUUAAAUACGUUCUUCCAGUACUCAUUCAAAGACAGAAAAACAAAUCAGAUUUUAUGUUUUUGCCUCUGUCACUGGUUCGAUAUUAACUAGUUACCUGCCUGUUUUUCUGUCUCUCAGUCAUCUUAACUCAAAUGCCUGCAAAAAGCCAAUACUGCUUAGUGUUAAAAUAAAAUAAAAAUCCCACUUCGCAUAUUAUUUUAUUUUAUAUAAAAAUGCAUAUUACUUCCAGAUGGUCAAGUCUAACCCAACCAGAAAAAGGCUUAUUAAAAUAAUGCAUAAAAUCUGAGGAAAACAAAUAAGACUUAAAAGCAAAAAGAAUAGUUAUUAGAAUUACAGAUGCGUAAUUUCCCUGGAAUGCUAGUGAUCUGAAGUAAUCUAAGGAAAUGUUUACUUUGGUCUACUUGCAACUUAGUAUUACUCUAUGGUGAUUUGAAGUGUUGACACUAAACCAAUAAAAUAAACGUCUGUAAUGAAGUCAUAGAUGUAAAUUCCCACUGCAAUUGAACAAGAUGCAGAGAAUUCCACUCUAAAACACCACUGCCAAGCACUAUGGGGACCACUCAUUUCUAUUUGUUUUCAACAAACAAAAUUUAACAUAAAUUGUAGGUGUUAGCAAACUAAUAUUUUUUAAAAACUUGAAAAAAAUUUUUCAUUUUCUCCCAAAGCCCCGCAGUACAUAGUUGUGUAUUUUUCAUUAUGGGUACUUCUAGU
ensembl:lncRNA